rnacentral:rRNA from 1 species
ACCGAGGCUUAAAUGUAGAUUAACCGAUUUGGAAAGAAAUCUUUCGCAAGACAAUUUACAAGGUGCUGCACGGUUGUAGUCAGCUCGUCCCGUGAGGUGUCAGGUUAAGUCCUAUAACGAGCGCAACCCCUGUUGUUAGUUGCCAGCGAGUCAUGUCGGGAACUCUAACGAGACCGCCAGGGCAAACUGUGAGGAAGGUGGGGAUGACGUCAAAUCAUCACGGCCCUUACGCCUUGGGCUACACACGUGCUACGAUGGCCGGUACAGUGAGCAGCCACCUCGCGAGGGGGAGCGAAUCUAUAAAACCGGUCACAGUUCGGAUCGGAGUCUGCAACUCAACUCCGUGAAGCUGGAAUCGCUAGUAAUCGGAUAUCAGCCAUGAUCCGGUGAAUACGUUCCCGGGCCUUGUACACACCGCCCGUCAAGCCAUGGAAGCUGGGGGUGCCUGAAGUCGGUGACCGCAAGGAGCUGCCUAGGGUAAAACUGGUAACUAGGGCUAAGUCGUAACAAGGUAACAAGUCGUAGAGUUUGAUCAUGCU